rnacentral:rRNA from 1 species
AGUCGAGCGAACUGAUUAGAAGCUUGCUUCUAUGACGUUAGCGGCGGACGGGUGAGUAACACGUGGGCAACCUGCCUGUAAGACUGGGAUAACUUCGGGAAACCGAAGCUAAUACCGGAUAGGAUCUUCUCCUUCAUGGGAGAUGAUUGAAAGAUGGUUUCGGCUAUCACUUACAGAUGGGCCCGCGGUGCAUUAGCUAGUUGGUGAGGUAACGGCUCACCAAGGCCACGAUGCAUAGCCGACCUGAGAGGGUGAUCGGCCACACUGGGACUGAGACACGGCCCAGACUCCUACGGGAGGCAGCAGUAGGGAAUCUUCCGCAAUGGACGAAAGUCUGACGGAGCAACGCCGCGUGAGUGAUGAAGGCUUUCGGGUCGUAAAACUCUGUUGUUAGGGAAGAACAAGUACAAGAGUAACUGCUUGUACCUUGACGGUACCUAACCAGAAAGCCACGGCUAACUACGUGCCAGCAGCCGCGGUAAUACGUAGGUGGCAAGCGUUAUCCGGAAUUAUUGGGCGUAAAGCGCGCGCAGGCGGUUUCUUAAGUCUGAUGUGAAAGCCCACGGCUCAACCGUGGAGGGUCAUUGGAAACUGGGGAACUUGAGUGCAGAAGAGAAAAGCGGAAUUCCACGUGUAGCGGUGAAAUGCGUAGAGAUGUGGAGGAACACCAGUGGCGAAGGCGGCUUUUUGGUCUGUAACUGACGCUGAGGCGCGAAAGCGUGGGGAGCAAACAGGAUUAGAUACNCUGGUAGUCCACGCCGUAAACGAUGAGUGCUAAGUGUU